rnacentral:ncRNA from 1 species
AUUUGAUGUUUGCCUCUCCAUCUGUGGGGAAUUUUCCGCAAUGGGCGAAAGCCUGACGGAGCAAUGCCGCGUGGAGGUAAAAGGCCUACGGGUCAUGAACUUCUUUUCUUGGAGAAGAAACAAUGACGGUAUCCAGGGAAUAAGCAUCGGCUAACUCUGUGCCUAUCAGCUUAUAGAUAUAUUAACACAAACUUGGUGUCAUUAUUAUGGAUGACUUGCUCUCGAUUGGAUUUACAAAGUGCUAAU